CCCUUAGAUGUUCUGGGCCGCACGCGCGCUACACUGAUGCAUUCAACGAGUCUAAAACCUGCUCUGAUAGGGGUGGGUAAUCUUUUGAAUGUGCAUCGUGAUUGGGAUAGAUGAUUGCAAUUUUUCAUCUUCAACGAGGAAUGCCUAGUAAACGCAAGUCAUCAGCUUGCAUUGAUUACGUCCCUGCCCUUUGUACACACCGCCCGUCGCUCCUACCGAUUGAAUGAUCCGAUGAAUAUCAUGGAUUGAGGAUGUAAGCAGGUUCGCCUGUCUUCAUCUUCGAGAAGUGAAGUAAAUCUUAUCAUUUAGAGGAGGGAGAAGUCGUAACA
rnacentral:rRNA from 1 species